rnacentral:rRNA from 1 species
GAUGAACGCUGGCGGCGUGCUUAACACAUGCAAGUCGAACGGGACUCAUAGGAUCAAGGAUUCGUCCAAGUGAAUAUGAGUUUAGUGGCGGACGGGUGAGUAACGCGUGAGGAACCUGCCUCGGAGUGGGGAAUAACAGUUGGAAACAGCUGCUAAUACCGCAUGAUGCAUAUUGAUCGCAUGGUCGAUGUGCCAAAGAUUUAUCGCUCUGAGAUGGCCUCGCGUCUGAUUAGCUAGUUGGCGGGGUAACGGCCCACCAAGGCGACGAUCAGUAGCCGGACUGAGAGGUUGGCCGGCCACAUUGGGACUGAGACACGGCCCAGACUCCUACGGGAGGCAGCAGUGGGGAAUAGUUGGGCAAGUGGGCGCAAGCCUGACCCAGCAACGCCGCGUGAAGGAAGAAGGCUUUCGGGUUGUAAACUUCUUUUGUCAGGGACGAAUAAAUGACGGUACUGACGAAUAAG